CUUUCGCGCCAAAAAGGUCUUUUAAUGCAACAUCGAGGUCAUAAACUCACUUGUCAAUUAGAACUUUUAAAGUGAAUUAAGCUGUUAUCCCUAAAGUAACUUAUUCUUCUUUUAAAAAUUUUAGAUAUUAAGGCCCAUUAACUGCCUAUGUAAAUUAAGAAAAGUUAUUUUUCCCACCGCCCCAGUAAAAUACUUACACCCUUUCCUAAAAGUAGUAAAUAUAAAGUUUUAUAGGGUCUUCUUGUCUUUAAGAGUUAUUUUAGCCUUCUUACUAAAAAGUCAACUUCAUUAUCUUACCUUAAAAAAGUUUAUUCCAGUUUACCCUUUCAUUCCAG
rnacentral:rRNA from 1 species